rnacentral:snoRNA from 1 species
UACCCUGAUGAUCAACUAUAAAAAUUUAAUAACUUUCGUUCUACCGAGUCACAUCAAACGAUGUUGGGGAGAAAUUUAUAUUCAACUGACU